UAACGAUUUGGGCACUGUCUCAACGAGAGACUCGGUGAAAUCAUAGUACCUGUGAAGAUGCAGGUUACCCGCGACAGGACGGAAAGACCCCGUGGAGCUUUACUGUAGCCUGAUAUUGAAAUUCGGCACAGCUUGUACAGGAUAGGUAGGAGCCUUUGAAACGUGAGCGCUAGCUUACGUGGAGGCGCUGGUGGGAUACUACCCUAGCUGUGUUGGCUUUCUAACCCGCACCACUUAUCGUGGUGGGAGACAGUGUCAGGCGGGCAGUUUGACUGGGGCGGUCGCCUCCUAAAAGGUAACGGAGGCGCUCAAAGGUUCCCUCAGAAUGGUUGGAAAUCAUUCAUAGAGUGUAAAGGCAUAAGGGAGCUUGACUGCGAGACCUACAAGUCGAGCAGGGUCGAAAGACGGACUUAGUGAUCCGGUGGUUCCGCAUGGAAGGGCCAUCGCUCAACGGAUAAAAGCUACCCCGGGGAUAACAGGCUUAUCUCCCCCAAGAGUUCACAUCGACGGGGAGGUUUGGCACCUCGAUGUCGGCUCAUCGCAUCCUGGGGCUGUAGUCGGUCCCAAGGGUUGGGCUGUUCGCCCAUUAAAGCGGUACGCGAGCUGGGUUCAGAACGUCGUGAGACAGUUCGGUCCCUAUCCGUCGUGGGCGUAGGAAAUUUGAGAGGAGCUGUCCUUAGUACGAGAGGACCGGGAUGGACAUACCUCUGGUGUACCAGUUGUCGUGCCAACGGCAUAGCUGGGUAGCUAUGUGUGGACGGGAUAAGUGCUGAAAGCAUCUAAGCAUGAAGCCCCCCUCAAGAUGAGAUUUCCCAACUUCGGUUAUAAGAUCCCUCAAAGAU
rnacentral:rRNA from 1 species